UUAAUUAAAAAAAGAGGGCAUGCAGAAAACACGCCAGAGUGAAAACCACAGAACCUUAGUAACAGCUAGUUUAUAUCCCCCUUAUUUUGCAAUCCAGUGGAUUAGAGAGAAGUUUAUUUUCCUCCCCAUAUAUUUGAAGCAUUAUGUGUUUUUAAAGUUUAUUAUGAAAAAGCAGUAUUGCCUGAGCUGUAACAAAACAAGGCGCCUCUUAGGGAUAUUUUGUAGAAGUUUAAGAACUAAAAAGGCUUAAGAUACUAGUCUGUUCUUUUAAAAGUAGUGUUUUUAAAAUACCAAAACAACAACUGAGUAAGAAUAUGAAAAUUGGCAACUGAGGGGAGUUUACAUAUGUAUUUUAGUUAAAAAAAAAAACACCCAAGAUUGCUUUUUAAAGUUUGGAUUUAUACAAAAAACACAAGAAAAAAUAGCUGAUGUAAAAAAAAGAAAACUGUUUUUUACCAGAGAUGUGGAGCCUUCUUCACCCUCGCUCUAUACACACACACACACACUAGAAGCUCCUCCUUACUUCAGGAGGGAUGGCACAUGAUACUCUUAGCCAAUAGUUUAGGGCUGUUGUUGUAAGGAGGAGCUCCUAUUUAAACAGGUCUGAUGAUUAAAGAUGGCUGCACCUCGGAGGCCCUGGCCAACACCGGCAGUCAAGCUUCUCGUGAAGAGACGUUAUACGGUUGCUGCUAUGGGCCCUGAAGAAACAAACACGGUCUUCUGGCAAACAGCGUUUGAGACGGGUCAUGGGAGUGGGGAGACAGGGAUAGCUAAUGAUGCCUGGACCUGCAGAAACAACGCUUUGGAGAAACAUGAGGCCAGACCCCUGGGCCGUGAUUUGUUUGAGACUCCAGCCUCUGGCCAGGAGAAUCCAAACAAAUCAAAUGAAGGUCUGUACAGAGACAAGGCACAGCAGCUGAGCGAUGGUUCUGCAGAGGACUUGGAGGUUUUGGACACCGAUAGCUCCGAAGGACCGAGUGGUUUGGGCCCAAUCUGUUUUUGCCCAGACACAAAAUCACCUGCUCCACAAGUGCUGAAACAGCGGGGGACGGUUAUUCUGUAGGCCUGUACUAUCUAAAGUUGAGGGAGAAAUUCGGUAUUUAGCUGGUGUGAGUUCAUGACCAUAAAACAGCGAUGCAUGCAAUUGUGUGAGCAGCUGUGCAUGGAAUCAUCAAGCACUGCCUGAGAGAAAAACAAAAUGAGGAUUGUCCUGAGUACGCCAUAGAUGCCCCUGGACACAGGCACCAUGCCUGUGGGUUCUGGUCUUUAGAUUAUGUGAAUUGUAAAAUUAAAGGAAUUAGCGGUAGUUUGUGUAUGUAGAGUGUGUUAAAUAUCAUCAUCAUGCUGGGAUACGCACUGCAGUGCCUCUGUUUAAUCCAGGAACAUUUAGCUCUAGGGGCAGAAUUGGUGGACAAAGUGACAGAGGCCGAGAACCCCAAUAGCGUUUUAGAUGAAAUCAUCAAACCGACAGAUAAAUGUUUAAUGCAAAAUGUUGAACAUUUUCUCCAUUCAGCAAAUUACAAAAUCUUGCUAAGAAAAAACACCAACAGUUAUAGCAUGUUUUGGGAACAAAACAGGCCGUGUUGUAAAAUAAAAUGUCAGUUGAAAAUAA